rnacentral:rRNA from 1 species
AUGAUUGACCUAAAUGAGGAACCAGCUGAAAAUAAUGAUGAUCCUUUGUACUGUACACAACAUGCUACUGGAAAUGCAGAACUUGUGGCGGAAUCACCUAAUCCCCCUAUCAUACAAAGAGUGGAUGGUGCUGCUACAGAAGCAAUGGAGAGAGAUCGGCAAUCAAGUCAUGGGGGGCGUGCUCCGGGCAGUACACAAGUACCUACAGCUGUAGCAGCUGGGAGUGAUGCUCAUACCCUUGAUGGCACAGGUGCUGCAGGUGAUACCGGUGACACUGUUGGUAAUGGUUUGGGUGCUGAAAAUGAUGAUGAAGCUUGGUCACAGCCCAAGGAGCCUUACGUGGGCAUGAGGUUCGACACUUUGGAAGAUGCCAAGGUGCAUUACAAUGCAUAUUCCUUGCAGAUGGGGUUUUCAAUCAAAAUGAAUAGUUCAAGGAAGGAUAUGAAAACUGAGGAGUUGAUAAAACAACAGUUUGUUUGCAACAAGUUUCGAAAGCCUGGUGUUGAUGACGGAGGGGCAGAAAAGAUUCCCGUGCUAGAUGACAUUGUUGAACAAGCAAAAGAUGAUAAUGAAGAUGAGGCUAUUGUCUUUCUUGAUGAUGAUAGUAAGGGCAAAAAGAGCAGCAAGAAACGAAAAAGAGAUAAAAUUGUACAAACUGGUUGCAAAGCUAAGAUGAUUGUGAAGGUAAUAGAUGGCAGAUGGGAGGUGAUCUACUUUGUUAGCGAGCACAACCAUCUGUUGAUUGACAAACCAUGUUUGACUAAGUAUUUGCGAUCACACCAAGGGAUACCGCCAGAAGAAAGGGCCUUCCUUACUCACCUUCAUAACUGCAAUUUGACUACAGGUCGUAUGAUGCACAUCAUGUCAGAUUUCUAUGGGACAGAACUCAUUGUACCUUAUAGCACAAAACACAUUACAAACCUCAAAACGCUCUUGAACAAGGAUGAUACAAAAGAAGGGGAUAUGAUAGAGACAGUUGCUUACUUUAAAGAUCAGCAGAGAGAGGAUCCAGAAUUUUUUUACAAGAUAAAAUAUGAUGAGGAAGACAGGGUUGAGAAUAUUUUCUGGGUCGAUGGUGCAGCAAGGAAGGCGUACGUGGAAUCUUAUCAUGAUUGUAUCUCCUUUGACACAACAUAUAUGACUAACAUGUACAACAUGCCCUUUGCACCAUUCAUUGGGACUAACAGGCAUGGGCAGUCAUUCAUGUUGGGCUGUGGCUUUGUUAGGCAAGAGUUGGCGUCAAGCUUUGAUUGGCUAUUCGAAACCUUCCUUGAGGCAAUGCAUAAUGUAGUGCCCACCAACAUCAUAACCGACCAAGACAUCGCAAUGGCACAGUCAAUUAAAAAGAUCUUUCCUACAAGUGUGCACCGCUGUUGCCGCUGGCAUAUUAUGAAAAAGGCACAAGAAAAGCUUGGAGCAUUUCUGGGGCGAAACCCUGGCUUAUCCAAAGAUUUCAACACCUGUGUUGACUUUAGCUUGACGCCGGAAGAAUUUGAGGCAGGGUGGAGUGAGCUGAUGAUGAAGUAUGAGGCUAUGACCGACUCUCACUUCGAGAAUCUGUACAAGUACAGAGAGACAUGGGUACCCUGCUACUUCAAGCACCAAUUCUUCCCUUUCUUGCAGUCAACUCAACGCAGUGAGGGGUUCAAUGCUGUCCUUAAGCGAUAUGUGAACCCACACAAGUCCAUUUUAAACUUUGUGAAGCAAUAUCAGAAAAUCCAAACACACAUACUAGUCCGGGAGGGUUCAAAAGACUACAGGACAGCACAUUUACAGACUGAAAUGUGGUCGUCUUACCCAAUAGAGAAGCAGGCGUACAGAUCGUAUACUAGGGACUUGUACGAGAAGUUUCGUGAUGAGUUUCAGUUGACUACAAGGUACAAUGUGCGACCACAUGGUGAAAACUUGUAUGAGGUUUACCCCAAUCAAGAGUGGGUUGCCAAAUAUGGUUCUAGGGGCUAUUUUGUCACGGUCGAAGCUAGUGCUGGAGACUACAGGUGUGACUGCUGCAAGAUUGAGAGGGACGGCAUGCUUUGCUGCCAUAUCUUGAAAGUUUUCAACCAACUUGGUGUUGAUGAAAUCCUAGCGCAGUACAUACUUAGAAGAUGGACCCCUAUGGCAAUCCCCAACGCACCCCCUGCUGUCGAAGACCAACCUGAUGAGAUGCCACCACAGUCGAAGAAGGAACUCAGGCAUGCAAAUUUGAUGAUGGAUUUUGGUAGUCUUGCAAGGGUUGCUAGUGCAUCAGAUGUUGCAACGGAUAUUGUAAAAAAACAUAUGCGUGGUGCGCGUCAUGAAAUCAAAAAUCUCAACAUGUCAAAGAAGAAGAAAACGGCAGCACCAACAAGUGGGCCCUCUGGUGGUUCUGCGCCACCAUCAGCUGGUGGUUCUGCGCCACAACCGAGUAACUCUCAGGCAACUGGUGGCCCUGCGGUGCGUCCUGAAGGGCCUGUGGUGCGUCCUGGAUCUAGACAACAGCAACAUACUUCUGCGCCACCGCUAAGUAACACUCAGGCAACUAGUGACCCGGCGGUGCGUCCUGGCGAACUUGCACAAACCUCUUCUGGACCUAGGCAGCAGCGAUCUAGUUCUGCACCGCCGAGAAAAAAGGCACCAAAACUAGCUGGCAACUCUAUGAGUAAGGAUGGACACCAACAAACAGCGUUCAGGGCUGCAGUGAUGCAUAGUGGGACUGUACCACUACCCAGGAGUCCUCCCGCACAAAGCUGCUGGCCUGUACAACAACUGUCGGGAUAUGUGCCACUAAACAGUGGAGCAGCACCGCACAUUUCAAGGGGCUCAACAAUGACAAGUCCUGUGCAAGCGCUAAGAGGAGCUGUGCCACAACUUUUGAUGCAUACAACACUAGCAAGAGGUCCUGCACGACCUCCUAUGGGUCCUAGACCAGCAAUUUGGCCUGCACCACAAACUAUGGUGGCUAUACAACCACCGCGGGGGCCUUCCGCGGCAAACACAACCUAUGUGGCUAUUCCUGGACUGGCGCCAUCGCCUGCAUCAUCAGCAACAGUUGAUGGCAGGUAUGGACAGCACCCAGGUUCUUCAACUACACAAGAAGAAAAUGCCAAUGCAAUUCCAUCUCCUAUUGUGCAAGCUCCUGGUGGACAUGCGCACCAGCCGCUCAGUACGACAUCUCUACAUGCAGCUGUUGCUGCAGCACAAGGUACUACGAUGGUUGAACCAUAG